CCACCAGCUGCACCUAAUCCUGCAAUCAACCCCACCUAUAUUCUCAGCUCUGGCACAUCCACUCUGCCAGAUUGUAGCCUCUGUUCAUUCCGUCUGCUCUGCCCUCCAGCCCCUGUCUCCUGGACCUUGUCUCCUACUUGUCUGCUCUCCUAACCUGGACCCACUGAGCUCCAUACCUCACCUCUGGGAUCUCUGCCUGGCUCUGCUCUGAACCAUUCCCCGUGCCUCACCUGGCUGACUUAACCCUGCAGUCCUGAAAAUAAACACUGUUUCACUCCAA